CCUACGGGAGGCAGCAGUGAGGAAUAUUGGUCAAUGGACGGAAGUCUGAACCAGCCAAGUCGCGUGAAGGAUGACGGUCCUAUGGAUUGUAAACCUCUUUUGUCAGGGAACAAGACCCGCCACGUGUGGCUGGAAGAAGAGUACCCGAAGAAAAAGAAUCGGCUAACUCCGGUCCAGCAGCCGCGGUAAUACGGAGGAUCCGAGCGUUCUCCGGAUUUAUUGGGUUUAAAGGGAGCGUAGGUGGAUUGUUAAGUCAGUUGUGAAAGUUUGCGGCUCAACCGUAAAAUUGCAGUUGAAACUGGCAGUCUUGAGUACAGUAGAGGUGGGCGGAAUGCGUGGUGUAGCGGUGAAAUGCUUAGAUAUCACGAAGAACUCCGAUUGCGAAGGCAGUUCACUGGACUGCAACUGACACUGAGGCUCGAAAGUGUGGGUAUCAAACAGGAGUAGAUACCCGAGUAGUC
rnacentral:rRNA from 1 species